rnacentral:rRNA from 1 species
CACGCCUAACACAUGCAAGUCGAACGAAGUAGCAAUACUUAGUGGCAGACGGGUGAGUAACAUGUAGGUAUCUGCCCUUUGGCCUGGAAUAACACGAGGAAACUUGUGCUAAUACCGGAUAAGUCUUUACGGAGAAAGCUUUAUGCACCAUUGGAUGAGCCUGCACUUGAUUAGUUUGUUGGUGGGGUAAUGGCCUACCAAGACUAUGAUCAAUAGCUGAUUUGAGAGGAUGAUCAGCCACAUUGGGACUGAGACACGGCCCAAACUCCUACGGGAGGCAGCAGUGGGGAAUCUUGCACAAUGGAGGAAACUCUGAUGCAGCGAUGCCGCGUGAGUGAAGAAGGCCCUUGGGUUGUAAAGCUCUUUCGUCGGGGAAGAAAAUGACUGUACCCGAAUAAGAAGGUCCGGCUAACUUCGUGCCAGCAGCCGCGGUAAUACGAAGGGACCUAGCGUAGUUCGGAAUUACUGGGCUUAAAGAGUUCGUAGGUGGUUGAAAAAGUUAGUGGUGAAAUCCCAGAGCUUAACUCUGGAACUGCCAUUAAAACUUUUCAGCUAGAGUAUGAUAGAGGAAAGCAGAAUUUCUAGUGUAGAGGUGAAAUUCGUAGAUAUUAGAAAGAAUACCAAUUGCGAAGGCAGCUUUCUGGAUCAUUACUGACACUGAGGAACGAAAGCAUGGGUAGCGAAGAGGAUUAGAUACCCUCGUAGUCCAUGCCGUAAACGAUGUGUGUUAGACGUUGGAAAUUUAUUUUCAGUGUCGCAGCGAAAGCGAUAAACACACCGCCUGGGGAGUACGACCGCAAGGUUAAAACUCAAAUGAAUUGACGGGGACCCGCACAAGUAGUGGAGCAUGUGGUUUAAUUCGAAGAUACGCGCAGAACCUUACCAACACUUGACAUGUUCGUCGCGACUCUAAGAGAUUAGAGUUUUCGGUUCGGCCGGACGAAACACAGGUGCUGCAUGGCUGUCGUCAGCUCGUGUCGUGAGAUGUUGGGUUAAGUCCCGCAACGAGCGCAACCCUCACUUUUAGUUGCCAUCAUUAAGUUGGGCACUCUGAAAGAACUGCCAGUGAUAAGCUGGGGGAAGGUGGGGAUGACGUCAAGUCCUCAUGGCCCUUACGUGUUGGGCUACACACGUGCUACAAUGGUAUCUACAACAGGAAGCAAGACUGCGAAGUUAAGCAAAUCCCUAAAAGAUACCUCAGUUCGGAUUGCACUCUGCAACUCGAGUGCAUGAAGCUGGAAUUACUAGUAAUCGUGGAUCAGCGUGCCACGGUGAAUGCGUUCCCGGGUCUUGUACACACCGCCCGUCACACCAUGGGAGUUGGUUCUACCUUAAG